rnacentral:lncRNA from 1 species
UAAAAACAUGGCUAUAAAUUUAUACAACUAUAUCACCAACUAGCACCACUAAAUUCGAAUUGUUUGAAUCACUAUAAAUUGGUUAUUUGACAAGUCCUUGUUAUGGGCCAAAAACGAGAUGGGCAGCUUUUAUUUUCCCAUUAAAUGUAAUGAAUUGAAUUACCAGAUGGCAAUAGAAAUCCCCCUUUAUUGCUGUCCAUAUAAGCUUAUGAUCAGCCAUUUUUGCUACAUCCCCAUCUGAAUUUCUGUAAUGACAGAUUUGAAAAGCAUCAAACUAGCUUGUUAUCAUAUGACAACGUUUAUCAUAUUUGAUGUGUGAAAAAUGGAAAGUGAUAUGAAAAUUGAGGAUUUAAAUUUUAUGAAUUCAAUUUUUAAGUUUUUUAACAUUGAACCCGUUAUAAUUUUAAGUUAUAAGUUCAUAUCUACUAUUUUUAUAAUUUUCGUGAAUUUUUACACAUGAAUUUAUAUUAUGCUUUUAAAAUUAUGGUUCGAUUGAACCAGUUAGUAAAAUACUACAUUUGCCCUUGUCCAGAGGCGAAUCCAGAAUUUAAACUAUAUGGGUUCAAUAUUUUAGGUUCCUAACAUUGAACUUACCAUAUUUUAAAAGUUAUGGGUUCAUAUCUAUUAUUUAUUGCAAUUUUAGUGAACACGCAAAUAUUUAUGUUGCCUCGAAAGUUACAGGUUCAAUUAAACUCACAGGUACAAUGCUACAUUCGCCCCUGCCCUUGUCCGCAAGAUAAGUAUAAGGUCUGCCUAUAUACUAUCCUCCCAAUGUGAGGAUAUACUGAGUGCAUUAUUGUUGAUAAUUACCAGUUUAAGGAUCUCAUUUCCUUUUGAGAUUUAUUAUUUAAAAAAAACACCACCUUUUGUUGUUCCAUUUACAGCUUGUUUGGAUGGUUGUUACUCAUUUUAUCGUAUUGUAUUGUUAUCCCAAAAUAAUAUUUGGUUUGAUUGUUUUGUUAAAAUUAAUUGUAACGACCCGACCGAUCGUUUUGAGCAUUUUCACUUCGCUCAGUGGUUUGAGCACAUGAGUAGCUUCGUAUGAUGUAUUAUGACUUAUGUGAAUCGUCGGUUUUGGUUUGAGGUUAUUCGGAAUUGAUUUAGAAGAAUGAUUCUCAACUAGGAAGCUUUAAAUUAGAAGAGCUGACCAAGUUUGACUUUUUAGUAUUUGACCUCAGAUUGGAUUUUUUAUGGUUCCGUUAGCUCCUUUGGAUGAUUUUGGACUUAGGAACGUAUCCGGAUUGUGAUUUAGAGGUCUGUAGUUGAAUUUGGCUUGAAAUGACGAAAAGUUAAAUUUUUGGAAGUUUGAUCGGUAGUGAACUUUUUGAUAUCGGAUUCGGAUUGUUGUUCCGGGAAUUGAAAUAAAUUUGUUAUGUCAUUUGGGACUUGUGUGCAAAAUUUGGGUUCAUUCCGGGUUGGUUAGCUAUGUUUCGGCACGAGUUAUGGAUGUUGAAAAGUUUAAAGUUCAUCAAGUUCGAUUUGAGGCGCGAUUCAUUAUUUUGUUGUUGCCAUAUGUGAUUUGGGGCCGCGAGUAGGUCCGUGUUAUGUGAUGGGACUUGUUGGUAUACUUGAACGGGAUCCUGAGGGGCUCGAGCAUGUUUCGAAUUGAUUUCGGAUCAUUUUUCUCUAUGUUUUCAUUACUGGUAGCUGUUGUUUGCGCGUGUUUCAAACCGUCUUCGCGAUCGCGAAGAUUGGCACGCAAUCACGUAGUAUAUCAGAGGAUUUGGCCUUUUCCUUCGUUGCGUUCGUGCCAGUGGCAUCGAGUUCGCGAGCCUUUGUGAGGUUUGGGCAUUGUCACACCCCUUUUUACUCCUCCAAAGGAUAAUGAACGUUAUGGAUUGUAGGUUAAAAAGUUUUUCCAAUUAAAGUGACAAACUUGAGUAGGAAUUAUUUUAUUUACAUAGUCGCCACUUGGAAUUGAUUUUUAGGUGUUCCAAGUUACCUUUUAUUUGAAUCCCUAGUCAAAGGAAGAUUUGACUCUAUUUUUUAUCGGUCUCCGAAAAUAAAGUUCGGGUAAGAAAUUCUGUUGACCGGGGAGAAGGUGUAAGGCAUUCCCCGAGUCCCGGGGUUCUAGCACGGUCACUUUAUUGACUAUAUUUGGCUUAAAUUAAUUUUGGAUAAAACUGCAAUUUAUUUGAUUUUUAUGCUUUUCAUAUGUCUGCUUUUAUUUAUUAAAAAAAAUAAAGAAACGAUUUGAAUAAUAUUGAAUUGACCUAACCGUAGCACGCUAGCGAAUGCAUGAUCUAAACAAAAUUUACUAAUUUUGUAAUAAUCACCUUACGCAAGUGAAUCCGCAGUUGUGACAAAAGAUUAUUAGCACGUUAUUACUCUUGGAAAAAUAUCUAUAUUUUAUAUUGCUUUAUUAUGGACAAUAGGCCAACCAAAAUAAGUUCAUUUGGCCAAAGCCUGUUUCUCGUAACCCCGUUUAAGAACUAACGUGAGAGAUAGGCUAAACUAUAAGCAAAUAAUUAACUAAAGAUAUAAUAUUAAAUACUAAUAGAAUAUACUAGGAUAAAAAUUAUUUAAAAUUCCUAUGGCCCACUAAUGUUACAAUUAGCCUAAACCCACAAUCUUUUACUUUCUGUCAAGCAAACACAUGGCCCAUUAUUCAGUCAGCUAUUCCCUUCCCCAAUAUUCUUAACAGAAUUAAUUCACAAAGAGAUCCUAUACUCAUGACAUUAACAGAAGAAAAGUAAUGGACAAACAUCCAUGAAUGAUAAAUAAAUUAAUAGAACGACCAAGGAACUUCAAUAAAAGUGGUAAGUAUGAACCUUUACAUUCAGCGAAUAAGCCUCUUCAAUAGAUCCAAACAUGAAGCUCCAACAUCAUCAAAGAUAUAUGAAAACCCGAAGCUACAACCCGGAAAAAGAACUCGAACAGGACCUGCGACACGAGACUGCAUCGGAACCUCGAAACUCAGUAGUAGAGAAACACAACAAAAAGAUGAGCGAUUUGUGAUGUUGAUUGGGGAUUAUUUCGCUGAAACUUUUGGGGCUGAUUUAUGUUGGUAUUUUGAGGAGGCUUCAAGGUGCCUAAAGGUGUUUGAGAUGGUGGGGAAGAUGGCUAAUUUUUAGGCAUUUUGCAGCUGAUUUUUGGCUGGAUUUAGGGGGGCCGUUUUGAGGUGGAAAAGAGAUGAUAUCUGUGAAGAAGAACUUGUUCCGUCGUGUUAAGCUAUCUCCUCUUAUGAAGUUUUUAGAGGUGCUUUUUAUGGUAGAAAAAUGGAUGUUUUCAAUGAUCAAAACAAAAAGAAAAGAUGGGAUCCCCUUUUUUUUUAGUCCUAUUUGUGAGGGCUUGUUCUCCUCCUUUUUUCAAGUGGAGACAUCUCCUUUUCUUAACUCAUUUACUUUUCUAAUCUCCAUCCCCUCUUUC